rnacentral:rRNA from 1 species
UACGAAGGGGGCUAGCGUUGCUCGGAAUCACUGGGCGUAAAGGGUGCGUAGGCGGGUCUUUAAGUCAGGGGUGAAAUCCUGGAGCUCAACUCCAGAACUGCCUUUGAUACUGAAGAUCUUGAGUCCGGGAGAGGUGAGUGGAACUGCGAGUGUAGAGGUGAAAUUCGUAGAUAUUCGCAGGAACACCAGUGGCGAAGGCGGCUCACUGGCCCGGUACUGACGCUGAGGCACGAAAGCGUGGGGAGCAAACAGG